rnacentral:rRNA from 1 species
UACGUAGGGGGCGAGCGUUGUCCGGAUUUACUGGGCGUAAAGGGCGCGUAGGCGGCGCAACAAGUCAGUUGUGAAAUCUCCGGGCUUAACUCGGAAAGGUCAACUGAUACUGUGCGACUAGAGUGCGGAAGGGGCAACUGGAAUUCUUGGUGUAGCGGUGAAAUGCGUAGAUAUCAAGAGGAACACCUGCGGCGAAGGCGGGUUGCUGGGCCGACACUGACGCUGAGGUGCGAAAGCGGUGGGAGCAAACAGG